UCUGAGGGAGCGUUUUGUCCACGUCAGGACAAAGCGCUUCCUUGAGGGCGUGUUUUAUGCUGACAUGGACAAAACGCUCCCCUAGGG
rfam:Gossypium hirsutum cultivar TM-1 chromosome 1, whole genome shotgun sequence